rnacentral:rRNA from 1 species
ACUCAAAUGAAUUGACGGGCACCCGCACAAGCGGUGGAGCAUGCUGUUUAAUUCGAAGAUACGCGAAGAACCUUACCUAGACUUGACAUCCCCGGCAAAGCUAUAGAAAUAUAGUAGAGGUUACCCGGGUGACAGGUGGUGCAUGGUUGUCGUCAGCUCGUGUCGUGAGAUGUUCGGUUAAGUCCGAUAACGAGCGCAACCCUUAUUAUUAGUUACUAACAUUUAGUUGAGGACUCUAAUGAUACUGCCGGUGAUAAACCGGAGGAAGGUGGGGAUGACGUCAAAUCAUCAUGCCCCUUACGUCUAGGGCUACAGGCGUGCUACAAUGGCCAAUACAAAGAGUCGCAAUACCGUAAGGUGGAGCUAAUCUCUAAAGUUGGUCUCAGUUCGGAUUGAGGUCUGCAACUCGACCUCAUGAAGCUGGAAUCGCUAGUAAUCCUGAAUCAGAAUGUCAGGGUGAAUACGUUCCCGGGUGUUGUACACACCGCCCGU